CAUAUAUAGCCCAUACUAUAUGGACUUCUAGAAUAAUUCAAUUUUGAGAUUAAAGUUGAUCCAAAAUAGAGGAUGCUACUGUCUUUUGGACUGUAGAUAGAAAACUUUAUUUUUUAUUAUCUUUUGCUGAGGAUACUCCAAUGUUAUUCGCUUCCACUAUACCCAAAUUUUCUUUCAGAUCUUCAUCUUUAUGCUCACUA
rnacentral:lncRNA from 1 species